rnacentral:rRNA from 1 species
UGAGGAAUAUUGGUCAAUGGACGAGAGUCUGAACCAGCCAAGUAGCGUGAAGGAUGACUGCCCUAUGGGUUGUAAACUUCUUUUAUACGGGAAUAAAGUUAGCCACGUGUGGCUUUUUGUAUGUACCGUAUGAAUAAGGAUCGGCUAACUCCGUGCCAGCAGCCGCGGUAAUACGGAGGAUCCGAGCGUUAUCCGGAUUUAUUGGGUUUAAAGGGAGCGUAGGCGGGUUGUUAAGUCAGUUGUGAAAGUUUGCGGCUCAACCGUAAAAUUGCAGUUGAUACUGGCGACCUUGAGUGCAACAGAGGUAGGCGGAAUUCGUGGUGUAGCGGUGAAAUGCUUAGAUAUCACGAAGAACUCCGAUUGCGAAGGCAGCUUACUGGAUUGUAACUGACGCUGAUGCUCGAAAGUGUGGGUAUCAAACAGGAUUAGAUACCCUGGUAGUCCACACAGUAAACGAUGAAUACUCGCUGUUGGCGAUAUACGGUCAGCGGCCAAGCGAAAGCAUUAAGUAUUCCACCUGGGGAGUACGCCGGCAACGGUGAAACUCAAAGGAAUUGACGGGGGCCCGCACAAGCGGAGGAACAUGUGGUUUAAUUCGAUGAUACGCGAGGAACCUUACCCGGGCUUAAAUUGCAACUGACUGAACCGGAAACGGUUCUUUCUUCGGACAGUUGUGAAGGUGCUGCAUGGUUGUCGUCAGCUCGUGCCGUGAGGUGUCGGCUUAAGUGCCAUAACGAGCGCAACCCUUAUCGAUAGUUACUAACAGGUCAUGCUGAGGACUCUAUUGAGACUGCCGUCGUAAGAUGUGAGGAAGGUGGGGAUGACGUCAAAUCAGCACGGCCCUUACGUCCGGGGCUACACACGUGUUACAAUGGGGGGUACAGAAGGCAGCUACACGGCGACGUGGUGCUAAUCCCGAAAGCCUCUCUCAGUUCGGAUUGGAGUCUGCAACCCGACUCCAUGAAGCUGGAUUCGCUAGUAAUCGCGCAUCAGCCACGGCGCGGUGAAUACGUUCCC